UCCGGUUUGGCACCGGCAGUCCUCCCAGAGUCCCCGCCAUGACGCGCUGGCAACUGGGAGCGGGGGUUGCGCUCGUUGCGGGACUUAACCCAACAUCUCACGACACGAGCUGACGACAGCCAUGCAGCACCUGAACCGGCAGUCCCCGAAGGGAAGGUCCUAUUUCUAGGACUGUCCGCCGUUGUCUAGCCCAGGUAAGGUUCUUCGCGUUGCGUCGAAUUAAACCACAUGCUCCACCGCUUGUGCGGGCCCCCGUCAAUUCCGUUUGAGUUUUAAUCUUGCGACCGUACUCCCCAGGCGGAGUGCUUAACGCGUUAGCUUUGGCACUGCAGGGGUCAAUACCCGCAACACCUAGCACUCAUCGUUUACGGCGUGGACUAC
rnacentral:misc_RNA from 1 species